rnacentral:rRNA from 1 species
UACGUAGGGUGCGAGCGUUAAUCGGAAUUACUGGGCGUAAAGCGUGCGCAGGCGGUUUUGCAAGACAGAUGUGAAAUCCCCGGGCUUAACCUGGGAACUGCAUUUGUGACUGCAAGACUAGAGUGCGGCAGAGGGGGGUAGAAUUCCACGUGUAGCAGUGAAAUGCGUAGAGAUGUGGAGGAACACCGAUGGCGAAGGCAGCCCCCUGGGCUAACACUGACGCUCAGGCACGAAAGCGUGGGGAGCAAACAGG